CCUUGUGGUUGUAAGGUUUGGUUGCGCUCGCUGAGAACUUGACACAGUGUUGCAGUAAAUCAAACAGAGCUACAGUAACAGCGCUGAAAUUUGUCACACUGUUGCAAGUAUUUUUGGCCAGUGAUACAAGCGAGAGAUAUCACUGCCGUCUCCCGUUCGAGGAAGAGUUGAGUUAUUCAGCAAGGAAGUACGUCGGAUCGUUUUCAAGAACAGUUUCAGAGAGAUUCGACACAUUUGACUGGAAAUGUCUGAAAACAAACCAAAUGAUGAUCCGAAGUUAUCCACGACGGACAGAGUGGUUAAAUGUAAGUAGAAAUCCCAUGCCACUCAAAAUGGUAGGGCUCAGAGACUAUUUGAAGUGCGUUAACCUCGAGAUGUGAGUGUUAACGUGUCCAUGCAAUGAGCAGGCGUCAUAUGGUUUGGUAAUGCUCUAUAAUAUGAGAUCUGCCCAUGGAAAAAUGGGUGGUAGCCGGCUGUAUUGGUAAAAGUAGGAAGUAAAGGUAGUUGUUGUUAUGACAGAGUUGGUCGCAUUGUUUAUUUGUCCUUAGAAACGCAAUAUAAAGCCUCACUUUUGAAGUUAAACCAAACCGUUUUUGUAUGCGCUCCAGUUAUGGCUGGCGAGUUUUAAAUAACGUAUUUUGCAUUCUUUUGGAUUAAAAAAUGUAGAUAUUGCACAAUACUGACAGCAUGAAAAAAAACAGCGUAACACUGGGUUUACAGAUUUUGCGUGUCUGUUUUUAUUACAUGAUGAUUAUUUUUGACGUGAGGCAGCAUAUGACAGUUUGGAAACAAUCUGUCUCAAGGCACAGUGAAGCCCCACUCAGUUCAACAGACACACUUGCAGUCAUAUCCCAUUUGUUCAUCCUCAUCAUGGCAAUUGCAGUCAUUAUCAUUUGUUGUUUCAGUAGCUUGUCAUUGCGGUGGAUCUUAUUUUCCAACACAAAACACUCUGCUGUACUUUGAUGUACCAAAGCCAAUGAAGAGCAGUGUUGUUGUAUUAUAUACCCAGCACAUCGCUGUUUUGCACCAGCUAUUCAUAUUUUUCAUUCAAAAUAAUGUGCAGUGAACUUGUAAUGGCUUCUGCAUCCAUCAGGCAUAGCAGUGCAGCAGAUAAGCUGUAAGGGCCACUACAACUCCAAAGCUUUGACAACUCCCUUCCAUGCAACAACCUCCUACUCCAAACACACAUAUCCUCACUGAAGUAAUUUGGCAGCCAGACUGUGGUUUUAUAAGUGUGAGGAUCUGAUAUAAAUUGAUAGCUCUUAUAAAGGUGCCCAGGGUGCUCGGAUAACUAAUUUACCUUUUUCCCCCUUCCAUCAGCUCUUACCAUAGCCUCUGUGAAACAUCAGUUUCCUCUCACUAGUUGGAGGAUGGAAAUGUGAGGGCUGGGAAUGCUUUAGGAAGGAGUUGCGCUUAAAUGUUAAGAGAUUGUUGCACAAACAAGCUGAGCUCCAGAAGUCCUAAAUGCUCAGCUACUGUAUGGUGUUGAAGUGGCUUAGGGUCAGUGGGUUUUCGUUUAUGUCAGGACUGUGUUAUUAUCUGCAGCUCUUUAAGAAAUAUAUUCUCAAAAGACUGUAUGAAUCAUGUGUUUAUGCUGUGUUUUUGUAGUACAUGUUGUUCACACCUUAAAUGUAGAUGAUAUGAUACAUUGCAUAGCAUGCCAUUCUCAUUCAUGUAUUCAACAUAUCAUUUGAGUCUCAUACUUAGUUUUAGUGUUUCCUAAAUUUAAUAUGUUUUUUGGGAAAAAUACAGACUGGCAUUGUUAGCGCUGCAUUAUUCAGAUAAUGUUUAUUCAGUUUGAUUAGAUGAUUUGUGAGUUUGAGUGAAGAGUUUAGCACUAAUGUGCAGAUGAUUUCUUUUGUAUGUUCGGUUAGAGCAGUGCUCAUUCAGACGAAUCAAUUAUCUGUCAGUUGCUCUAAGCUGUGGAAAGAUAAAGCUUUUAGUGGGGUGUCCUUGGUUUUAAAUUACUCUCACCAAGCAAGGAGCUUUUACUAAUUUUGUGUACUGUUACUUUUUCAGUCUCCCCUUUAGGGCUGGGCGGUAUGGGCAAAAAAAAUUAUCACAAUAUUUUUUUUUUUUUCAUAUCAGUCGAUAUCGAUAAUUAUCACAACAAAUGUCAAAUCUUUAUUUCUUUCAAGUUUAAAGUCAGAUUUUUGCUCCAAAGUGAAAGUUGUAGAAACCAGACCAUUCAUUUUCCUUAACAAAAUAAAUAUGUAAAUAGAAAAAAAUAAUUUCUGCAUGUUCUAAUGAGUUAUAUUGUUUCAAAUCAAGAACCAGGUUUGGGUUGUCUGAUAAUUAUAACGAUGAUACUACUACUCCUACUACUACUGCUGCUACUAAUAAUUAUUAUUAUAAAUAUAAAUAAUAAUAAUAAUAUAAUAAUCUAAAUAAUCACUUUUCUGUCUCUUAGAAAUGCACAUUUGAUAGUAGUUUGAGGAUGCAGAGGUAAAUUUAUUCAUUAUCAAUCAGUAACAUCUGUAAAAAAUUGCAGCAACCUCAGUUUUAUAUGGUUAAAUUUAUUCUGACCCACUUCUUCUUUUUUUCAUUUUUUUAUUUCUUUUUUUUUAAGCAUUGGUCUCCCAUAGUAGCAUGCAUUUUAAAUCGUGAUAAACAGUUAAAAUCAAAAUAACAGUACCUCAAUACCAUGGUAAAAAUAUAACUACAUGGUUUUAUAGGUAGCCUAUUUGUAUGAAAAACGGUAGUCUAAAAACAUUCAGUAUAAAUAAGAUUAAUAUUAUAAUAUAUAUACUUAAUAUAUAAGCUUAAUCACAAAUACAUACAUACUAUAAUUGCACUGACCAAAAUUAUAAACACAACACUUUUGCUUUUGCCCCCAUUUUUUAUGAGCUGAACUAAGAUCUAAGAUCUAAGACUUUUUCUAUGUACACAAAAGGCCUGUUUCUCUCAAAUAUUGUUCACAAAUCUGUCUAAAUCUGUGUUAGUGAGCACUUCUCCUUUGCCGAGAUAAUCCAUCCACCUCACAGGUGUGGCAUAUCAAGAUGCUGAUUAGACAGGUGUGCCUUAGGCUGGCCACAAUAAAAGGCCACUCUAAAAUGUGCAGUUUUAUCACACAGCACAAUGCCACAGAUGUCGCAAGUUUUGAGGGAGCGUGCAGUUGGCAUGCUGACUGCAGGAAUGUCCACCAGAGCUGUUGCCCGUGAAUUGAAUGUUCAUUUUUGUUCACCAUAAGCUGUCUCCAAAGGUGUUUCAGAGAAUUUGACAGUACAUCCAACCGGCCUCACAACUGCUGACCAUGUGUAACCACACCAGCCCAGUACCUCCACAUCCAGCAUCUUCACCUCCAAGAUUGUCUGAGACCAGCCACCCGGACAGCUGCUGCAACAAUCAGUUUGCGUAACCAAAGAAUUUCUGCACUGUCAGAACUGUCAGAAACCACUCGUCUACCUCAUCAGGGUCUCGACCUGACUUUGCUGAUGUCAACGUUGUGGAUUGAGUGGCCCAUGGUAGCAGUGGGGUUAUGGUAUGGGCAGGCAUAUGUUAUUGACAACGAACACAGGUGCAUUUUAUUGAUACUGUGACGACAUCCCGAGGCACAUUGUUGUGCCGUUCAUCCACGACCAUCACCUCAUGUUGCAGCAUGAUAAUGCACAGCCCCAUGAUGCAAGGAUCUGUACACAGUUUCUGGAAGCUGAAAACAUCCUAGUUCUUGCAUGGCCAGCAUAUUCACAGGACAUGUCACCCAUUGAGCAUGUUUGGGAUGCUCUGGAUCAGCAUAUAAGACAGCGUGUUCCAGUUCCUGACAAUAUCCAGCAACUUCGCACAGCAAUUGGAGUGGACCAACAUUCCACAGGCCACCAUCAACAACUUGACCAACGCUAUGCGAAGGAGAUGUGUUGCACUGCGUGAGGCAAAUGUUGGUCACACCAGAUACUGACUGGUUUUCGGCUCUGUUUUUCCAGGGGCGUCCGCGCCGUAUCGAGAUAAUAAAUGCAUCUUCUUUAGUAAGCUUGCGCAGUUUGAACUUUGGUCUGAUUGGAUAAACGGUCCGUGUGGCACGAUUCAAAUGAGUAGCGCUGUUUCGUUCCGCUUUUGGCACAUAAAAAUUAUAUUGAACAUUUAUCGAACUCUUUAUAUCGUUUUAUCGAGGAAAAUUAUAUCGCAAUAAUUAUCGUUAUCGAAUUAUUGCCCAGCCCUACUCCCCUUCGAAGAAAAAAAACUCAGUGCUAAUGCUAGUCAAGUCUUUAUGUGUUCAGAAAGAGGCUCACUGGCAAAAAAAGAGGUUAAAGAGACGGACACUGGUAAAGGCACUUCUGUGGUCUUUAGGUGCUUGCUGUGGGAUAAAUCACAAUAUUUAAUCCUGUUGGUCCCUUACACAUUCUUUUUAUUCACCUCUUCAACCAAAAUCUUGUUGGUUCUUGUGCUGGAGCUUGUGUUUGGCCAUUAAUGAAAAACCAUAUGUUUUCAGUAACUUGUGAGCUAAAUAUUCUAUAACUGACUGUUGCCGCCAGCGCAACCGCCACCCUGGUGCCGUCAGGAAAACAGUGGCCAGCGGGCACAUGCAUUGACAGUAACCCUGUGGCAGUUUGGAUUGAAGGGUUACAGCAAUGAAAGGGUUAAAAGCAAAAUGCUUUUAAGUCAUUCUGAUACAAUGAGAUUAAGGUAAUAGGAUUAGAGUUUAAAAAAAUCCUUAUCUUAUAAGUUCAUCUUGUGUUCAUCCUUGUUUUGAAGUGUUAGGAUGCUGCAUUUUAAAGAUAUAAGAAAAUUAUGGUUAUGUUUUUUACUGCUACUUUAAUAAAUCGUUAAAACCAUUCAAGAUAUCCCAAAUCUGGUCAAUUUAACAUCUUCAGUAUGUUGGCAUCAUGUUGACAAAGUUUGGUGUAAAUUCAAUGUUUUUUUGUAGGAGUAUUCAUUAGGGAUGUCACAAUACUCAACAUAAUAUCGAACCAUUCGGUACGACAUCCACGGUUCAAUACGCGUUUGUGAAUUGUGGUUUUCCGCUUUUGUAUUUAAAUAAUUUCCUUGUUUUAUUUCUCUCGAAAUUUGCUCUGUGUGUGCCCGUGAUUUCACGUGCUGAGAUGAGGAAACGCCUCCCCGUUUAUAUUUGAAAAAGCAACACUUGCAGAGAAUCUUCUCUUCUAGUGAAAUGCAAUAAGCCUUUCUAAACUUGUUGUCCAACAAAACAGAACAUUCUAAAUUAUUUUUACUUCACAGCGUGAGUCGAGUGUUUUUGUAAUCUGAUGUGGCUUCUUAGACAAUGUAUUCUAUACUGUAUGUGGAUUAGCAAUGGCUUACAAAUAUACUUAAUUGUUAUGAAAAAACAAUAACAAACAAACAAAAACAGCUGUGGAUCAUUCAGGUAACAACACAGUAUUAAGAAUGAAGCGUAUGUAAACUUUUGAACAGGGUAAUUUUUAUAAAUUCAGCUAUUAUUUUCUUUUGUGAAAUAUAUGUAAACAUCUUCUAUGUGAAAUAUCUUAUUCAGGUCAGUACUAAAUAAAAACAUAACAUGCAUUUUGUAUGAGCCCAUUUUGGUAAAAUAAUUAACAUUUUGCAGAUUCUGCAAGGUAUGUAAACUUUUGACCUCAGCUCUGUAUUAUACACAUACAUACAUACAUACAUACUAGAGAUCGACCGAUAUAUCGAUUUACCGAUAUUUUCCCGAUAUUUAAGCAUUUUACCAUAAUCGGUUAUCGGUUUUGUAAUAUCGGGUUCACCGAUAAACGCCGCCAUCUUGUGGGUGUUUUGAGAAUUGGGCGCUUGCAGCGCGCCUGAGGGGAGACCCGACAACAACGGCGUGCAAAGGUAAAGCAGAUCCUUCUUCCUUGCUUUUCUGUUAUUUGUCAACUUUAUUUAAAGUAUAAAGCAAUGUUAGUUUCAGUGUUAAACUCGGAUAAAUGUGCGCUAUUAGACACGUACCCAAUGCUUUGUGCGGAGAGUGGAAGCUAAAGCUGCUUCCAGGACACUGAAGCGCCAGCGCGAUCACUAAUCACAUUUCUUUCAGUGGAAACAAUUGAAUUAUUCCGUCAUUUUUGUUCAUAAAGGUAGAGUAAUACAUCAUUCGGAACUGUAAAGGGUCUACUUUUAUUUGUGUGCACUCACAAUAUCAACAAAACGUUGCAAACGGUGCCUUUAUAAAACAAUCAUUAUGCGCUUUCACAACAAUAAACCGACACUCAGCGAAUACAAACCGCAAAGACAUGAUAAAUAUACAUAUAGAAAGCUCAAAAUUAUUACUUAACGAAAUAAAUCAAUUCAAAAACAAAAACUCUCAUUAUGUAAUCUGUAAUGAUGCUUUUCUCUCUAAAGGCGCGUCCAAAUAGAAGAUGGCGAGUCCAGAUCGGCAAAUUUAUCCUGAAAUCACUGACUCAGAAAACACCUGUUUAUUAAUAAAUAAUUUAAAAAAUCUCCUUACUAUUUUCCCCUCGACGCAUUCAUGAUAAUUACUUUUGCCUGUGCUUUGCAGCAAGCUUUAGCCUAUUGCGUGCACUUGAACGCGGAUCUCUUCCAGCUGCGUUGAAGGCGCGCUCGCUGAUGCUGCUGAUGGAGACACUAAAUGCCUUCCGAGCCGGUCUAAAAAAAAGCGAAAGUGAAGUCUCGUGUUGUUUCCACCAGCGGGGAAUUUUUCAUCACCAUAAAUUGUGGAUGUCAAAAAUAUAAAAAUAAGGAGACCCGAAAAACAGACCCGAAGCCCGGCCCGUGUCUGAGCUAUGACUUGAAAAUUGUCCUCGAAGCCCGGCCCUAUAGGGGCGUAAAAAAAGUCGGGCUGAAAUGCAAGGCUCUACGUUCACUCACGGGGUUGAUGCGCUGGCCACCGCAUGUAACUUUUAACAAGAUUCACUUGUUUAAAACACUCUCAACUAUAUCAACAUUUACUAUAGAACCAUUAUUUUUCUAAUACACUUCUAAAUAUAUACAAUGUGGAAAUUUAUUAUCUUUGCCAGCGAUCACAGUUUAAGUAUUCUAUGUAAAUGCAUAGAUAAACCGCGCUGUCAGCAGGCAUUUCAUAAUAGAACGACGGAAACAAUAUUAGUAAUUCUGAUAUAACGUACCAGUUGAGAAAUACUAUAAAAUACGAUUUUUUGUUUGUUAUAUUCCAAUAUUCCAGAGAAUAUUAUUCAGUGAAUUAACAUUAUCCAGUGAAUUCUUCACUCUUUAGCCUAUUAAACAGCCUGUAAACUGUAGUUUAAAACUAAGUUGAUCUGACUCCUGUCCUUUAUUUAUUUUCUCCAUUUGAAAACAUUCUACACUCUAAAAAGUGCUGGGUUAUUUCUUUAAACACAUUGCUGGGUUAAUUGUGCUGGGUCAAAAUUCUGGGUUGUUUGAGGUACUGUAAACACACAGUUGGGUUGAUCAUGCUGGGUCAAAUGGAAUCUCACCAUUGAACACGCGGGUUGGGUUAUUUUAACCCAGCCGGUUUGUUUAUUUUUCCACUUCAUCUAACUUUCUGGAUUCUUCACUCGUCUCCUCGUCAGGCGCUCACGAAAUUCGCAGCAAGCAGGAUUAUACGGUAAGUUAAUAUGAUUAUAUGAUUAUUUACCUUUAUUUUUUAAUAAGUUGUGGUUUAGAGCACUGUGAUUUCACUGUUUAAUGCAAUUUGAUAUGUCUCUGUGCGGGGUUAGCGUUUAUUCUGUGAAUGAUUAACGAACGUUAUAGCAGCCUAUAGUGAGGUACUUUAUUGCCUCAACAAUCGCUUUAUCGUUAAAUAAAAGUUGUGUGUGUGUGUGUGCAAAGUUUUAUUUAUAUACAGUACACAUCCUUUUUUUUAUCAGUACUGUCCAUUUUUAACGCUUCAUGAAGACAGACAUAAGUUAGAAAUACGGGGUAAGUUCAGUUACAGUCUGAAUACUGUAUGGCUUUGUAAUGUUUUAUGUAAAAUUGAUCUUUUAAGGGCAUAUUUUUUCAAAUCAAUGUUUCCGACGUGCCGAAUCCAACGAUAGAUCCGUAAUUUUUAUGUUGUGCAUUUUCGCGCUCUUUUUUUCCUCAAGUAACUUCAUUAGCUCCGCUAUUCACCUUACUUUAACUCUCGUGGUGUGUAAGCAGUGGUGUAGUGCCGGGUAUACACAGGUACACGGCUUAUACCCACUUCUUUAUCAGUUGGCUUUGCGUGUACCCACUUCUAAUCCCCUCUGCUGCGCAUCGAGUAGUGUCCUGCAUUAGCCAAAAUCAUGACAGUCCACAUGAAUAGCUAAUUUGAUCGCAUGUGCGUAUAUGCAAAUAUUCCUUAAAAACACCCGGUAACGACAGUGAUGUGGUCAGAACAGUUGCGCGGGCUUCUUUUAAAUAUACUUGAUGAUUGCCCCUAAAUGCGCCCGCGCCCGCUCCGUCCACUCCUCCACCCAGAUGCUGCCUGUUCACGCGCGAGGGCAUGUUAGAGAAAACCCGACCAAUUUAAUCAGAAACUGCGGAGAAUCACGUGUUCACCUGAUCUGUGUUUAAACGAUUGUUUUGCGUGUAAACGCAUUAACCUGCUUUCUAUUUAAAAUAAAUCAUUGUAAAAACAGUUUUGUGAAAUUCUAAUUUUCUAAAUCUGAAAUUUCAUUCUAAAUAUGUGAGAUUCUUGCUGGUGCAGAUGGACAGCUUUGUAAUAGAGAAGUUGAAGGAAAGGCAGCUUGAUACCCUGGUUAAAACCUUUGAAGAUUUCACAAGACUUCAGGAAGCUACAUCCAGAGGCAGACUUUUUGUAGACUGGGCUACAUUUGUAAGAUGGAAAGGUGUAUUAAGAGCUGGGUGACAUGACUUCAGACGUUAAAGGGGAGAGUGCUUUCAAAGUCCUGCCCAUUCUGGAGGAAGGGUCCACAGAACCACAACCACAGAAGUCUGGAAGUCAUUAAUUGACAUGCAAACCUGUGGGGACCAGCAUGGUGGAUUUGUGCCUUGGGGAUGAGACAACGACAUCCCAGACCUUCGCCAUUGUUACGGGCCGUGCCACUGAAGCUACUGACUUGUGUGAAUUUUAUUUAUUUAUUUUUUUAAAACCAACUGUUUUUUUCUGGCCAAUUGUAACAUGUUUUAAAUUGUCUUGUAAAUAUGUAUUGUCUGGUGGACACUUUGUUUGGCUUAGUUUUAAUCGCACAAUGUUUGGAAUGAUUCUCGUGUGGUAAUCAUUCAUUUUUGAGUGUUCUGCUGCUGCAAUGUUGACAAAGAAUCAGAAUCUACAGUGCCUAGUUUACACAGUUUUGUGUUUUAAAGUAACUGAUCUACUAAAAUUGUUGUUUUGUGCGUCUGUAAUGGUUGGAUAAAAUGUUUUACAGCUGCACCCAU